ensembl:snRNA U6 U6 spliceosomal RNA
GUACUUGCUUUGGUGAUUCAUCCAAAAUCGAAAUGAUACAGAGAAAGUUACUUUGGUCCUUGUGCAAAGAUGACAUGUAAAUUUAUGAAGCCAUUCACAUUUUU